AAGUCGUAACAAGGUUUCCGUAGGUGAACCUGCGGAAGGAUCAUUAACACGUAUCCAACGUUAAACAACCCUGUGAACUUUCAGCCUGCUCUUGUAACCAUGAGGAACAGCAAUCCCGGUAAAUCAUUGCAAACAGUUUUGAUUCGGGACCUCUGUCCAAAAGGUGUUACAAUUGAGCGGUAGAGGCAGUGGCAUGGCUUCCCCAAGCAGUUAGUGAAUGACAGUGUCACUGAUUGUGUAAGGAUAACGCCUCACGGUUGCCAGAGGUCGAUCACCGACCGGCAGACAUGUCACAGGGUCACCACGCCCCUUAAUCACCCCAAUUUGAAAUUGCUCCUACCUGGUGGUAACUGAAAUUGCUCCUACCUGGUGGUAACGCACUGGGUCAAAAAAACCGAACAACUGUUAACAAUGGAUAUCUUGGUUCUC
rnacentral:misc_RNA from 1 species